GUUUGUAAAUAUGUUCAUAAAUAUUGAUAUAAACAGUGCUAAAAAUCUUUAAAACCUGUGAAAUAUCCCUUUAGUGAUUGCUUUUAGUGACAGAUUAAACAACCAAUAACUGGCACAGUCUGAUUUCACAUCAGCCAAUCAGGUUGAUUGUCCCGCCCCUUUAACUGCAACGCUGAGCUUUAACUCAGAUUGCGUCUAACUCCCUUGAGAGCUGACGGUUGUUCCGUAAACUUCCUAGAAGAUUACAUUAAAUUCUUUGAAGAAUCCUGGAAAUUGAUCUCCAAAAGCGCUGUUCUAACAGCUGACCUCCGAAAAAAAAUCCCUGGUUGUGUAGCAUUGAAGCAUCGGUGAGUAAUUGCACGCGCUCAGCCGUUGGCCAGUAAAUUUGCUAAAAUAAUGGCUAAAAUAUCUAAUAACUGUUCAAAUUUAAUAAAAAUUAAAUUGUAUUGUAAGCUUUAUAUCAUUGUUGUUGUGUAUGUUGUAUUUGUCCUAUGUGGAUUUGCUUCUUUUCCCAUUAGUACGUGUUUUAAUAUUUUGACAUUGGUGUUAUGGUGCUGUAAUGCGGUUUUCUAAUCCACAUUUUAAAUGUUAGAUUUAGUGUUAUAAAUGUACUUUGGCACUUUUAGAUUGAGAUUUGAAUUGUUGCUUUGUUGAUAUUAGCAUCCUAAAUUUUAAGAUGCUUUACUUUGACCUUCUUCCAGGUCAGGUUUUUUUCUUAUGGUGCACUUUUGGAACAUUGUGCCAGAGACCUCAAGAUCACCUUUACAAAGAACUUGGAUGGCGAGCCCCAGCCCAGAGGACCGAGUGAACUGGUAGACAGUGACCCGACUGGUCACCAGCCGUGAAACAU